rnacentral:pre_miRNA from 1 species
AAUAAAUCAAUUUUGUCAGUUUUUAGCUACAAUGUUUGACUCUUCGUCUUAUUUAACAUUUUUUAGGAUUAAUAUUUUUAUUUUUAUUAGAUGCUAAAACAUCAAUAGUACUUUACGUGUAACUAAUAUUUUCAUUUUAAAUAAGACGGAUGGUUAAAUGUUGAAUAUGAAUCCAAAGAAUUGCUUCUU